CACCCUUCUUCCUUGUUCAGUCACCUUUCCAGCUGUCAGUCCAUUCACUAAAAUGUAGUCAUCUCCAGGAACAUUUGCUGUUGGUCAAAAAGGCUUUUAAAUGGAAUCUUCUUCCUUUAAAUGUUUAUUCUUGAAGAAAUAAAGCAACUAACAUGAAGUUAUAGUUGACCCUAUGAUUGUAAACCAGCAUUAACUUUAAUGGCUCAGCGGUUGUUCCGUUCAAAGGUGGAAGGCAGUAACUCUCACCAUAGCGUUCACUGAACAUGGAGGACAUUGAAAAGGGGACUGUGAGGAAUCUUGUGGCUACAUUCCUUGACAAAGAGCACACAGGAAAGUCUGCAGGCUUUAAGGAGAAAGAUAAAAAGCUGAGAACAUCAAAAUCCUGUGAAUGUUUGAGUGAAAGGGCUCAGCGCUCCACUGAACUCCCUUUGAAGGGUAAACGAUCAGAGAUACCAGACUUUGACAAUGAGACUCAAUCACACUGGUCUAAGCAUAUUCCUUUUCCAAACAAAAUAUCAGGAAAGCCGGACCUGGACUAUUCUCUGGAUGAGACUCAAUCAGACUGCUCAAAAGAUAUUCCUGUAAAUUUUUCAAACAAGAAGGACUCCAGACAGAAGAAACUUGUGUCAGAGGCAAUUGGAUCUUUGACAGCCAAGUAUGAACUCUCUAAAAAGCAUCCUACAGCCUUCAAAAGAGGACGAUCAGGAAAGCCAGACCUGGUCUAUUCCCUGGAUGAGACUCAAUCAGACUGCUCAAAAGAUAUUCCUGUUAAUUUUUCAAACAAGAAGGACUUCAGACAGAAGGAACUGGUGUCAGAGGCCAUUGGAUCUUUGAGAGCCAAGUAUGAACUCUCUAAUGAACAUCAUGUAACCUUUAAAGAAGCACGAUCAGGAAGGCCAGACCUGGUCUAUUCCCUGGAUGAGACUCAAUCAGACUGCUCAAAAGAUAUUCCUGUUAAUUUUUCAAACAAGAAGGACUUCAGACAGAAGGAACUGGUGUCAGAGGACAUUGGAUCUUUGAGAGCCAAGUAUGAACACUCUAAUGAACAUCAUGUAACCUUCAAAGAAGCACGAUCAGGAAGGCCAGGCCUGGUCUAUUCCCUGGGUGAGACUCAGUCAGACUGCUCAAAAGAUAUUCCUGUUAAUUUUUCAAACAAGAAGGACUUCAGACAGAAGGAACUGGUGUUAGAGGCCAUUGGAUCUUUGAGAGCCAAGUAUGAACACUCUAAUGAACAUCAUGUAACCUUCAAAGAAGCACGAUCUGUGAAACCAGAUGUUGACUAUUCUCAAUAUGAGACAGAGUCAGAGUUGUCAAGGGAGAACCCUCUUUAUUUUUCAAACAAAAUAGAAAUAUCACGAGGCAUCCCGAAACACUGGGGAAAAAGUGGAAUUGUAUCACAUAACACUGAUCCUUCCAGAUUUCAAGUACCUAAUCUUCCAUCUGCUGUAUAUCAUCAAAAAACUGCUAACAUAGCCCAUCAUGAUACUACUUUCCAAAGUCCGAAAUUGGACUAUCCAGAGAUAGUUGAGUCCAUAUCUUCUUCUGAGACCUCGGAAUAUUCAUCGCUUAUAUCUAAGGAUUCCUAUGAUGGUAAAGAUGGGGUGAUUUGUGACCUGUGCCAAGAAAAUGCUGCUGUGAGGAUCUGCCUGACAUGCAACGACUUGUUCUGCGAGCCUGAUGCCCUUCAACAUACUGUAGCAAAGAUAUGCAAAAACACAUUCUGAAAGACAUCGGCAAUGAGGCCCAUGGAAGAUGCUGCCAGCAUCAGAAAUCUAAAGAUUUUUAUUGCAGAACUGAUCAGAUGCAUAUUUGCAGCAUUUGUGUGGAGGGAUACCACAAGAAACAUGACAUACUUUCACCAAGGACCAUGCGUCAGGUGGAUGUUGGUGAGGACUCUGGGCAGCAUGACUCAGUGCCCCCUCCUGGUAACAUCCAGUUCCUGAAAGUUGGAACAAACUCUGUGGUGUUGACUUGGGGAUUCCCGAAGGAGCUGAAAGGAACUGAGAAGUUCAGAGUUAAAUGGAGCUCAUUAACAGAAGCAGUAGGUUCCUUAGUCAUCAAAGAUUUGAAUACAGUGGAAAUAAAUGAUCUUCAACUUGGAGAGCGGUAUUUCUUCAGUGUGGCCACAGAGGAUGAGGAUGGCAAUUUAAGCAGAUGGGUAAAAGAAAGUGUUGUGACAGCUGUGCCACCUCCCCGACAUCUGUUUAAAGAUCAUUCAGAGUCCACAACCCUGUCUUUAACUUGGACCCAAGGAGAAAACAUGGAGGGAAUCCCACAUCAAUUCCUGAUUACUGUCAAAAGUCCAGCUAAAAAACCUUUUGUCAUUUGCACAAAAAGCUGCCAAAAGACUUUAUCUGACUUAGAACCAGACACGGAGUACAGCAUAUCAGUCUGCACACUG